ACGGCGCUGCAUCAGGCAGCUCUCUGUGGAAAGACUGAGGUGGUGAGACUGCUGUUGGAUAGUGGCAUCAGUGCUGGGGUGAGGAACACUCUGUGUCAGACGGCUCUGGACAUCGUUAAUCAGUUCACCGCCACACAGGCCAGCAGAGAGAUCAAACAGCUGCUGAGAGAUGCGUCAGCUGCGAUGCAGGUCAGAGCUCUGACAGAGUACUGCAACAACUACGACCUGACGAGCCUCAACAUCAAGACUGGAGACAUCAUCACGGUUCUGGAGCAGCAUUCUGACGGCCGGUGGAAGGGUUGUAUCCAUGACAACCGGACAGGAAAUGACCGCGUCGGCUACUUCCCCUCCAGCAUGGUGGAGGUGAUCAGCAAGAGGCCAGG